UAUGAACAUCUAUCAUCUGAAUCUUCAAAAUUCACCAACGCCCACCAGAAACUCUCCGACAUGGCUCCGUCGCCGGCGCCGUCAUCUUCCUCAUGUCCUCUCUUUCAUACUCUCCUCCCCGUUCUUGCCCCACAAGAUCACCGUCUAAACUACAACCCAACAACAACAGAUCUCACCGACAUUAGAGGAUAUACAGUGGGUUAAAUCCCAGAUCGAAGUUAACGGACUUCAUAUGCAAGAUAAUGUUCUUCGUAAGGGCAUUAAUCCUAGUACUCGUGCUCAACAGCUCCAGGAUUUGAUCCAAGCUGUGGUUACGAUUGAACUGUAGAAAAUAGAUGUUUUGACAAUAUUGUUAGGGUUUGAAUUGUAAAUGUGCCCCCAAAUAUGUACCUUGUUAUGUUACUGAAUUUGUUUCAGAUUAUUGCAUAAUCCUCUUGACGGAGCCAUGGCUACCGGAGCCUAGAUUGACUACCGGCUACCGGGGUCCUAGAUACAAGAUUUGGAUAUGCAUAUGACCGGUGAGUUGAAUGCCAAUCUGAAGUUGAAUGCCAAAUCAAUAGAAAUCCCUUUUGAAGUUGAAUGCCAAAUCAAUAGAAUGCCAAUCUGAAGUUGAACGCCAAAUCAAUAGAAAUCCCUUUUGAAGUUGAACUCAAUAGAAAUCAAUGCCAAAUCAAUGCCAAUCUGAUGUUGAAUGUUUGUAGAUUUGAACUCAAAAGUCAAAGUUUUCAAAUUUGUAGCAGCAAAGCUUACCUCAAAUCUAAAGGCAUGAAAUCCCUUUUUCUUGAAUUCUUUUCUUCAUGAUAUUUCAUACACCGCUUUACCUCAAAUCUAAAGUGCACUAAGUUUAGCUAUGA
rnacentral:lncRNA from 1 species